rnacentral:snoRNA from 1 species
UCUGUGUGAUGACACCCGCACGCGUCUUACGCCCUGUGUAAAUGCCAGAACCUGAAAAGGUGAACCCACUGGCGUUGCCUUGGCAAUAAGGUGAAGACCCGUUGGGGUUACCAACAGUCUGAAUGGAA